UACAGAGGUCUCAAGCGUUGUUCGGAUUCAUUGGGCGUAAAGGGUGCGUAGGCGGCGGGGUAAGUCAGGUGUGAAACCUCGGGGCUCAACUCCGAAACUGCACUUGAUACUGCCUUGCUAGAGUAUUGGAGAGGAGAUUGGAAUUUACGGUGUAGCAGUGAAAUGCGUAGAUAUCGUAAGGAAGACCAGUGGCGAAGGCGAAUCUCUGGACAAUUACUGACGCUGAGGCACGAAGGCCAGGGGAGCAAACGGG
rnacentral:rRNA from 1 species